GCUUGUCUCAAAGAUUAAGCCAUGCAUGUCUAAGUACAAGCCUCAGUAAGGUGAAACCGCGAAUGGCUCAUUAAAUCACACCUAAUCUACUGGAAAGUUACUAGUUACUUGGAUAACCGUGGUAAUUCUAGAGCUAAUACAUGCUAUCAAGCCCGACUUCUUGAAGGGUUGUAUUUAUUAGACUUAAGCCAAUAUUCCUUGUGUCUAUUGCGAUGAUUCAUAAUAACUGAUCGAAUCUCAAAUUUGAGAUAAAUCAUUCAAGUUUCUGCCCUAUCAGCUUUCGAUGGUAGUGUAUUGGACUACCAUGGCAGUAACGGGUAACGAAGAAUUAGGGUUCGAUUUCGGAGAGGGAGCAUGAGAAACGGCUACCACAUCUAAGGAAGGCAGCAGG
rnacentral:rRNA from 1 species